rnacentral:sRNA from 1 species
AUCCCAGGCUCGUGCAAAUCUUAUUCCUGCCUCAAUCGCGCCGUGAUGGAGCCUCACUGAAUGCCGUUAAUGCUUAAGUUGCCUCGACGGCCCGGCUCAUCGAACGGCUUGGACACGUCAGCCCCCCAGCCCUCCGAGUCGUACGGAGGGCCGGGCCACCCUCGAGACACAGGGCUGCCCUUCAAGGCAGCCUUUUC